UAAGAAAAGUGUAAGUGAAUUGUUCUUUAACUGUUCGAAUGAAUUCGAUGUUUAAUUAAAUCGGUUAUUUCUUUGAUGAAUAAGUCGUUCCUUUGUCAGUCGAUCAAAGGAUGUCUAUCCACAAAGAAUUGCCUGCUUACAUCCAGUGCUUUAAAAUGGAAGAGAUGGAUUGCGAUGAAUAAAUGUGUUCAGAAUUUUAACUCAUCAUGGAAGCAAAUUAAACUUUACGAAAAUAAACAUGGUUAUUACAUAACUUCGUAGUGUACGAAUGUGAAAGCCUCGACUGUUGCAUGAAUUACACUGAUUUCCAUGGCAAUUAUCACUCGUCUCAGCUAUGUCAACACUACUGUUGCUGGUCUUUGAGUUUAACGGACAUGAAAAUAUGCUGCAACGAGAUAUGGAGGCUGAAUAUCAACAGGGAUGAGAACUACUUUAAUAAAUGCAUGAACGUUUGGCUUGUGGAGCGUGGAUGGAUAUUAAACAUCGGCAUCUCAAUUAUUGUUUUCAUGCUGGCACGAGCUUACAUACGGUACUGCUUUCGCUUUCGACGCUGAGAAAAGAUUGGCUCUGUGUGUCCAAUCUAUCCUAAUGUAUCAAUCACAAACUCUAAAAAAAACUUUACACAAUUAAAAUAAGUAGUGUAAUAUUGUAUUUACUUCAUUCAAAGAUAUCGCGAAUUAAUUUAUUAUAGCACACUAUCUUUUUAGUAAUUGUAGACAAUUGAAUAAUAAGAUACAUGAUAAUUUCAACAAGUUUGAGGUGUUAUAGUUGCACAUAUUUGCAAUAUGUUUUUGCUCAAUACUUUCAAUACAUCAUUCAAUAAUUUAAUUAUGAAGUAUUUGAACAAUAGGCUAACGUUUGAUAAGUGAUACAGCUCUAGAAACAUUAUAUUUUUUAAGUUAAAAAAGAAGCUUAGUCACAAUUACAUUAGAUUGACACCAAACCAAGAUAUAUUUCUUUAUUGAAAAUAAUCGAGCACCAUUCAGUAGUUUCUUUAUUCAGGUUGGAAUGCUAAUACAUCUAAGCAAAGCGUCUACGAUGUUUAACUUGUCAACUUAUGACGGAAUUAAACACGGUUGUUCUCAUUUACAAUUAAGGUUUAUUAUCUUUUUGAAUAAACCGUUAUUUUCAAUAA